UUUGACUCCAGCUCGCCGCGGCCCCCGGCGCUCCGCAUACCUUUCUGGGCCAGGUCCCAUACGGCCCUCGCUGGCUGCGGUGGGUGUGCGCUGUUAACUGCAUUUAAGCACUGGCUGCUCAGUGCGUACACAUUCCGCAGAUAAAUAGUUAGACUGCAGUUUGACUGGCAACAUGGCGAACAGCAAGGAGGCACCUCGGGGAUCCAUCGAGAACCCGAUCAAGUUUAGGGAUCAGGACUUCCAGAGUCUCCUGGAAACGUGUCUGAAGUCCGGACAGCUGUUUGCGGAUCCAACCUUUCCAACUGAGCAGAAGUCCAUCGGCAUCCCGGAAGAUCCUAACCCCAAAAAGGCGAUCAAAUGGCAGCGACCCAAGGAAAUCUCCAAGAAUGCUGUGUUUGUGGAGGGCACGAUUGGAACCACUGAUAUCUGUCAGGGCCAACUGGGUAACUGUUGGCUGCUGGCUGCCCUGUCCUGUCUCACCAUGCACCCCCAACUCUUCGUGAAGGUGGUUCCAGCCAACCAAAGCAUGUCCCAGCCUUAUGCAGGGAUCUUCCAUUUUAUGUUCUGGCAGUAUGGUGAGUGGGUGGAGGUGGUUGUGGAUGACAGGCUGCCAGUAUGCGAAGGCCGUCUGCUCUUCAGCUACUCUCGCACCCGCAACGAGUAUUGGAGCGCCCUGGUGGAAAAGGCCUACGCCAAGUUAAUUGGAUGCUACGGAAGCUUGAAGGGGGGCAACAUUUCAGAGGGGAUGGAGGAUUUCACAGGAGGCAUUGCACGCUCGCUUAAGGUCAAAUCUCGUACCCCUCGUGUCCUCUGGAGGGCUCUGACAGCCGCCCUGUCUCGAGGCAGUCUGCUCAGCUGCUUCAUCAAGGCCUGCAGCACCCUUGAGAUUGGUAAAGUGACAGAAAACGGGCUGGUAAAGGGCCACGCUUACGCCAUCCCCACCACCGACAAGGUGAUGAAAGCGUCAGAUGAGGUUUUUUUGUUGAAGCUGAGGAACCCCUGGGGUUUUGUUGAAUAUCGCGGACCCUGGAGUGACAAGGGUAAAGAGUGGGAGGACGUGGUCAAAGCAGAGAAGGAAAGGAUUCAGCUGCAACAGAACGAAGAUGGAGAGUUCUGGAUCAGUACUGAGGACUUCUGCAGCCUGUUUGACGUUGUGGAGCUCUGCAGUGUGAAUCCUGACAAUCUUGAUGAGGAAAACACACCUGCCUCUACCUGGACCAUCAGUGAACAUCGAGGACUCUGGUUACAGGGGAGCUCUGCUGGUGGUAGCCGCAAAUACAACCGAUCCUUCUGGAAGAAUCCUCAGUUCCAGUUGGUUCUAACGGAGGGAGACCAAUCAGGACAGGUCUAUGAGGCGGGUGCUAAUGAGGUUUAUGAUGAGCCUGAAGGUGAGGAUGAUAAUGAGGAGGAUGAAGAUGACAUGUUGAUCCCAGAGGACAAGAAGAAAGCAGAGAAACAGAAGCAGAAAGGCAGACAGUGCACCGUGCUGGUGGAGCUGCUGCAGAAGAACCGCAGGAAGGACAAAGUCAACUUCCUCCAAAUAUCGUUCCAUAUUUACGAGGUUCCUCCUCAGCUCCAGGGCGCGUGUCUGAGUCGCAACUUCUUCAUGACUACUCGCCCUGUGGGUCGCUCUGGGAAAUACAGGGCUCAGAGGGGUGUGUGGAAGAAACUGCUGCUGGACCCAGGGAACUACAUCAUCGUGGCAUCCACCUAUCAACCCAACCAGCCUGGAGAAUUCUUUGUCCGCAUUUUCUCCAAGACUGGAAACACUCUGGGGACUCAGGACUUUACCUGCUCCUCUGGCUUCCUCCAGCUCAUGGCAACUCCCGUCUCCCCGGAGGAUAAAGUUAGAAUCCAGAAAACCUUUGAUGAAAAUGCUAGCCAAGAUGACAGACUGAACGCCAAGAAGAUCAUGAAGCUGUUUAACGCAGCUCUUGACAAAAAUUACCAUCUGCCACUGGAUACAUGCAGACAGCUCAUCUUUGGACAGGAUACUAAAGGGCGCGCCAGUCUCAGCCGUAAACAAGCAGAAACCCUGCUGUCUACUCUGCGCCAUCUGCAGUCCAUCUUUAUCAAGUUCGAUGAGGACUCUUCUGGGACCAUGAGCUCCUUUGAACUCAGUACAGCACUGGAAGCUAUUGGGAUGCAGUGUGACAGCAAGGUAGUUCAGCUGCUGUCUGAGCGCUUUGCAUCUGGAGAGCUUCACAUGUCCUUUCACAGCUUUGUGUCAUGUGUCACCAGGAUGCAAAAGCUUUUCGCUCUGUAUGAAUCAGAGACCAGUCAAGAAGUGAAAGACAGAGGGAUCAACCACUGGCUGCUUCAGUUCCUGAUGCUGUGAAGAGGGUCUCCACAUUAGGCCCAUCUGAGCCACAGCAUGCUGCUGAUUUUUAAACAAGGUUCAGCUUUAGUGUCAUGGAUUGAAGAAAUUAAAAAUGAAAACUCAAUUUUUUCUUAUUGUCAUUAAACAUACCAUACCAUCUGCGUACCAGUUAUAUGCAGAUCAUGUCCAGCUCCAUUUGUAAGUUUUAGGUCAUGUAGUCUUCUUCAGUAUCAAAAUGAUAUUGAGAACUGGUUGGCAGAACAUUUCUUUUAGCUUGAUUCCGAUAAAGUAGGAUGUAUGCUUCUGCGGAGGCUCAACUCAGGGAAAUGU